UACGUAGGUGGCGAGCGUUGUCCGGAUUUACUGGGCGUAAAGAGCGCGCAGGCGGUCGUGCAAGUCGCGUGUGAAAGCCCCCGGCUCAACUGGGGAGGGUCACGCGAUACUGCUCGGCUUGAAGGCAGGAGGGGGAAGUGGAAUUCCCGGUGUAGUGGUGAAAUGCGUAGAUAUCGGGAGGAACACCAGUGGCGAAGGCGACUUCCUGGCCUGUUCUUGACGCUGAGGCGCGAAAGCUAGGGGAGCAAACGGG
rnacentral:misc_RNA from 1 species